rnacentral:rRNA from 1 species
UACGUAGGGCGCAAGCGUUGUCCGGAAUUAUUGGGCGUAAAGAGCUCGUAGGCGGCUUGUCACGUCGGGUGUGAAAGCCCGGGGCUUAACCCCGGGUCUGCAUUCGAUACGGGCUAGCUAGAGUGUGGUAGGGGAGAUCGGAAUUCCUGGUGUAGCGGUGAAAUGCGCAGAUAUCAGGAGGAACACCAGCGGCGAAGGCGCCGCUCUGGGCCGUAACUGACGCUGAGGAGCGAAAGCAUGGGUAGCAAACAGG